rnacentral:rRNA from 1 species
GAUGAACGCUGGCGGCGUGCCUAAGACAUGCAAGUCGAGUGGGUUUAGACCCACGGCGAACGGGUGAGUAAUACCUAGGAACUUUCUUUAAGUGGAGCAUAACCAGCCGAAAGGUUGGAUAAUACUUCAUGUGGCAGUAAUGCUAAAGUCGCAAGACGCUUAAAGUGAGGCCUGGGCACCAUCAGCUAGUUGGUAAGGUAAUGGCUUACCAAGGCUAUGACGGUUAGGGUCCCGAGAGGGAUAACCCCCACACUGGAACUAGCGACACGGUCCGAGACUCCUACGGGAGGGCAGCAGUUUGG